rnacentral:rRNA from 1 species
GAUGAACGCUGGCGGCGUGCUUAACACAUGCAAGUCGAACGGUGAAGGUUGGAGCUUGCUCCUGCCGGAUCAGUGGCGAACGGGUGAGUAACACGUGAGCAAUCUGCCCUUCACUUCGGGAUAACUCCGGGAAACCGGUGCUAAUACCGAAUACGACCACUUCAGGCAUCUGAUGGUGGUGGAAAGUUCCGGCGGUGAAGGAUGAGCUCGCGGCCUAUCAGCUUGUUGGUGAGGUAACGGCUCACCAAGGCUUCGACGGGUAGCCGGCCUGAGAGGGUGACCGGCCACACUGGGACUGAGACACGGCCCAGACUCCUACGGGAGGCAGCAGUGGGGAAUAUUGGACAAUGGGCGAAAGCCUGAUCCAGCAACGCCGCGUGAGGGAUGACGGCCUUCGGGUUGUAAACCUCUUUCAGCAGGGACGAAGCGCAAGUGACGGUACCUGCAGAAGAAGCACCGGCCAACUACGUGCCAGCCGCCGCAGUAAUAC